CUCGUAGUUGAACCUUGGGUCUGGCUGGCCGGUCCGCCUCACCGCGAGUACUGGUCCGGCUGGACCUUUCCUUCUGGGGAAUCUCAUGGCCUUCACUGGCUGUGGGGGGAACCAGGACUUUUACUGUGAAAAAAUUAGAGUGUUCAAAGCAGGCCUUUGCUCGAAUACAUUAGCAUGGAAUAAUAGAAUAGGACGUGCGGUUCUAUUUUAUUGGUUUCUAGGACCGCCGUAAUGAUUAAUAGGGAUAGUCGGGGGCGUCAGUAUUCAGCUGUCAGAGGUGAAAUUCUUGGAUUUGCUGAAGACUAACUACUGCGAAAGCAUUCGCCAAGGAUGUUUUCAUUAAUCAGGGAACGAAAGUUAGGGGAUCGAAGACGAUCAGAUACCGUCGUAGUCUUAACCAUAAACUAUGCCGACUAGGGAUCGGACGGUGUUUCUAUUAUGACCCGUUCGGCACCUUACGAGAAAUCAAAGUUUUUGGGUUCUGGGGGGAGUAUGGUCGCAAGGCUGAAACUUAAAGAAAUCGACGGAAGGGCACCACCAGGCGUGGAGCCUGCGGCUUAAUUUGACUCAACACGGGGAAACUCACCAGGUCCAGACAAAAUAAGGAUUGACAGAUUGAGAG
rnacentral:rRNA from 1 species